GUCUCCGGGGGAUCCCUGGACACCCCAACUCUUCCAGGGGACCCACCCAGACCCCCAAGUCUCUGGGGGCCCCACCCAGACCCCCAAGUCUCCGGGGGACCCACCCAUCACCCCAAGUCUCCGGGGACCCACCCAGACCCCCAAGUCUCCGGGGGACCCACCCAGACCCCCAAGUCUCCGGGGGACCCACCCAGACCCCCCAUUCUCCGGGGACCCACGCA